UUGUUUAGGUCCCUUAGUUUCU
rnacentral:ncRNA from 2 species